UUCAUAACGGUCCAUCUUUCGAGCCCGCGCGGCGUUCAUAUUAUCUUCAUGAAGAACCGUUAACUCAACUAGAUUUACAACUUUUCUUCUUUCACACUACAUUAAAAUGUCAGGUUUUUCCAUAACUGGGAUGGGAAAGAAUGCCUGGCACCCAGGCAAAUCUGCAGUCACUUCCCAAUAGUCAUUCCACUUUUCAUUUCUCACAGGAAGUUUCUUGGUCUUUUUCGUGAAACGGAUCCGCUGACCUGAGCGCACGAAGUAGCAUACCAACGUGGCUUCGUCGUUUGUUGCUGACAAUGCGCAAGGUACAGUCCAAGGUGCCAUAGAAACGACACAUUCCAAAUCAGAUUCAUCAGAAUUAUACAUAAAAGUAAUUUGCUGGACAAACUUGAAUUAUCUGGAUUUUAUACACACACUGAAUCAGAUGUGGUUUCAUGAUCACAUAUUACAAUCAAAACAAACUCCUGGUGAGUAUUAACUGACCAGGAAAGAAAAAGGAAUAGGAAAGGGAAAAAAAAUAGGAACAGGAAAAAUGUCUUGUUUGGAAGCACUAUAAUAAAUUAAUAGCAAGUUAUC
rnacentral:lncRNA from 1 species